rnacentral:rRNA from 1 species
GACGAACGCUGGCGGCGUGCCUAAUACAUGCAAGUCGAACGCUUCUUUCCUCCCGAGUGCUUGCACUCAAUUGGAAAGAGGAGUGGCGGACGGGUGAGUAACACGUGGGUAACCUACCCAUCAGAGGGGGAUAACACUUGGAAACAGGUGCUAAUACCGCAUAACAGUUUAUGCCGCAUGGCAUAAGAGUGAAAGGCGCUUUCGGGUGUCGCUGAUGGAUGGACCCGCGGUGCAUUAGCUAGUUGGUGAGGUAACGGCUCACCAAGGCCACGAUGCAUAGCCGACCUGAGAGGGUGAUCGGACACACUGUGACUGAGACACGGCCCAGACUCCUACGGGAGGCAGCAGUAGGGAAUCUGCGGCAAUGGACGAAAGUCUGACCGAGCAACGCCGCGUGAGUGAAGAAGGUGUUCGGAUCGUAAAACUCUGUUGUUAGAGAAGAACAAGGACGUUAGUAACUGAACGUCCCCUGACGGUAUCUAACCAGAAAGCCACGGCUAACUACGUG